rnacentral:pre_miRNA from 13 species
GUGGCAGGAUGAGACUGUUGUGGUGUGUCUGCCUGUCUACACUUGCUGUGCAGACCUUCUGCUCCUGUACAGCAGGCACAGACAGGCAGACAGAUGGCAGCCCCACUG